AGUCUCGAUAAUGGAUAUCUUAACUCUCACAUCGAUGAAGAAUGCAACGAAAUAUGAUACUUGGUGUGAAUUUUAGAAUCCUAUGAACCAUUAAUUCUUUGAAUGUAAGUUGCACCUUUAGCCAUUAUGCCAAGGGCAUGCUUGCUUGGCUAUCAUGCAUCAUCACCCUUUCUAACCUCUCACCCAUCGGGCUCCUAGUAAGAGGGUAAAAGAUGGCCUCCAGUGAUCUCGUCUAUUAUGGUUGGCCCAAAAAUGAGUCCUUGGCAAUCAAAGCCUUAUGACCAUCAGUGCUAAAGCUCCUAGUGUGAAUCAUCUCCAGUGACAUGCACUCAUCCAACUAAACCUAUUGGAGCCUCCACAUCACUCAGUCGAUGCUCACAUCAUGACCCUAGGUUAGGUAGGAUUACCUAUUGAGUUUAAGCAUAUGAAUAAGCAAAGGAAAAGAAACUUACCAGGAUUUUCCUAGUAACAAUGAGCGGACCAGGAAAAGCCCAGCUUAAGAAUCGAGAACCCUUGGAGUCCAAAUUGUUGUCUGGUGAAACGUCCUCAGUGAUAGACUAGGCCUAAGUCCCAUAGAAAGGGGUGUUAGAGAGGGUGAGAGUCCUAUUGUGCUUGGAUCCUAUCGCACCAUGAGAUUCUAUCUACGAGUUAGUUGUUUGGGACUGUAGCCCUAAUCAGGUGGUAAAUUUCAUCCAAGGCUGAAUACGAGUGAGAGACCAAUAGUGAAGAAGUACCAUAAGGGAAAGAUGAAAAGGACUUUGAGAGAGUUAAAGAGUGCUUGAAAUUAUCGAAAGGGAAAUGAAUGGGGGACGAUGAUGUGCCCUAGUUAGAUGUGGAAUGGUGAGAGCCAAUCCAUUGAUUGGCUUAGGGCAUGGACUGACAUAUGUCGUAGUGGCUGCCCAACCUUAAGCUUUCGAUAUGCCCAUGGAGACAUUGUCACUAUGAUCGUGGAAUGCAACACACAUCAUCUCAACAUGCCUCGACACUCAUGUGCUCCUGGCAUCAGCCUGCGAGCUCCCUAUCUAGCUUGUCUUGAAACGUAGGCCAAGGAGUUUGACAUGUGUGCAAGUUAAUAUGCUAGAUAACCUAUAAGGUGUAAAGAAAUUGGUUGGUGGGAUCCCUCAUAGGUGCACCACCGACCAACUUUGAUCUUUUGAGAAAAGUUCAAGUGUGAGCUUACCUAUUAAGGUGAACUAUGCUUGAGUGGGGCUAAGCUAGGGGAAACUCUAGUGGAAGCCCACAAUGAUACUGAUGUGUAAAUCAUUCAUCUAACUUAGGUAUAGGCGUGAAAGACUAAUUGAACCAUCUAGUAGCUAGUUCCCUCUAAAGUUUCCUUUAGGAUAGAUGGAGCCCUUAGCGAGUUCUAUUAGGUAAAGCCAUGGUUAGAGGCAUUGAGGCACAAUGCCCUCAACCUAUUGUCAAACUUUAAAUAAGUAGGAUGAUGUAGCUAUUUCAUUGACAUGCUCCAUGGAAUUGAGACCUUCAAGUGGGCCAUUUUUGGUAAGUAGAAUUGGUGACAUAGGAUGAACUAAAAGUUGGGUUACAGUGCCUAAUUGUAUGCUAACCUAGAACCCUCAAAGGUGUUGUCGAUUAAGACAGUAAGACAGUGAUCAUGGAAGUCAAAAUCCUCUAAGGAGUGUGUAAUAACCCACCUGUCAAAUUAGCUAGCCUAAAAAAUAAAUUGUGCUUAAGCACGUGACCUAUACUAGAUCAUCAAGGCAAGGGCCAAGCCUUGAUAAGUAAGAGGGUAUGAUGGUUGCUAUAAAACUCAAUGCACAAGCUUGUGUAAAGAGACUAUCAGUGUAGAUCUUGUUGGUAGUAGCAAAUAUUCAAAUAAGAACUUUGAAGGCCAAUGAAGGGAAAGGUUCCAUGUGAACAGCACUUGCACAUAGGUUAGUCGAUCCUUAGAGAUGGGUCUAACAUGAGCUUUGAAAGGAAAUUGAGUUAAAAUUUCUAAACUGGGACACAAUGGCUAAUAGCAACAUUAGGGAUUCCAAAGACAUCGAUGAGGGCCUUAGGAAGAGUUAUCUUUUCUAUUUAAUAACCUACCCACCUUAGAAACAACUUAAUCGGAGGUAGGUUCCAUUGUCCAGAGAGCAAUGCAUGUCACAUUAUGUCCUAUUUGCCCAGCAGCCCUUGAAAAUAUGGAGGAGUGAGUGCUAUUCAUGCCCAGUUGUACUCAUUAUUGCAUGGGUUUCCAAUUGAAUAAGCUAUAGUCGAUGGAACAAUAUAGGUAAGGGAAGUCAAAAAUGGAUCUCUAACUUGGGAAAAUGAUUGGCUCUAAGGGUUGGGCAUGGGGGUCCAAGUCUGAACCUUUUUGCUACCAAUGCACUACUCGAGCUACCCCAUGAUGAGAGCAAUUCGAUGCAUGUGUCUAGGGAUGGAUAGGAAUGGCUUCCUCGAGGUCCUUCCCCAUGUGAUGAAUAGUUCAACUCAAUAGUACAGACUAGGGAAUUUGACUGUUUCAAUUAAAACAAGCAUUGCGAUGGUCCCUAGGGAUGCGCACUCAAUGUCAUUUUUGCCAGCACUCCUAAAUGUCAAAGUGAAGAAUUCAACCAAUCGCGGGUAAACGAUAGGAGUAAUAUGACUCUUUUGAGGUAGCAAAUGUCUACAUCUAAUUAGUGACACACAUGAGUGGAUUAAUAAGACUCCCAUUAUCUUAUUGACUAUUCACAAAAACAACAAGGGAACGGGCUUAGCAUAACAGUAGGAAAGAAGACCUAAUUGAGCUUGCUCUAGUCUAACUUUGUGAAAUGACUUGAGAGGGUGUAGGAUAAGUGAGAACCUUUGACGAAAUUGAAAUACCA
rnacentral:rRNA from 1 species